rnacentral:lncRNA from 1 species
AGGUACUUCAGCAAGGGGUCAAUCCAGCAAGGCUCUUCUUCAAUCUAUUGAACAGCAAGAGGCUCUUUCAGGCUUGAGUCUUUCAAUACCUGGAUGUAAGUUUCUUUUUAGAAUUUGAGUGGUAGAGAGGCUGCUAGCUUUGACAGCGCAGCCGUCUGUGUAUUUUGUGUUUGAGAUACCUGUUGGAUAUUAAAGCUCAAAAAAGG